rnacentral:rRNA from 1 species
AUUGAACGCUGGCGACAUGCCUUACACAUGCAAGUCGAACGGCAGCACGGGUGCUUGCACCUGGUGGCGAGUGGCGAACGGGCGAGUAAUAUAUCGGAACGUACCUUAUUGUGGGGGAUAACGCAGCGAAAGCUGUGCUAAUACCGCAUAAUCCCUAAGGGGGAAAGCGGGGGACCGUAAGGCCUCGCGCAAUUAGAGCGGCCGAUACCUGAUUAGCUAGUUGGUGAGGUAAAGGCUCACCAAGGCAACGAUCAGUAGCUGGUCUGAGUGGACGAUCAGCCACACUGGGACUGAGACACGGCCCAGACUCCUACGGGAGGCAGCAGUGGGGAAUUUUGGACAAUGGGGGCAACCCUGAUCCAGCAAUGCCGCGUGAGUGAAGAAGGCCUUCGGGUUGUAAAGCUCUUUUGUCAGGGAAGAAACAGCAGCUCUAACACAGUUUGCGAAUGACGGUACCUGAAGAAUAAGCACCGGCUAACUACGUGCCAGCAGCCGCCGUAA